CAGUGGGGAAUUUUGGACAAUGGGCGCAAGCCUGAUCCAGCAAUGCCGCGUGGAGGUGGAAGGCCUACGGGUCGUCAACUUCUUUUCUCAGAGAAGAAACAAUGACGGUAUCUGAGGAAUAAGCAUCGGCUAACUCUGUGCCAGCAGCCGCGGUAAGACAGAGGAUGCAAGCGUUAUCCAGAAUGAUUGGGCAUAAAGAGUCUGUAGGUGGCUUUUCAAGUCCGCCGUCAAAUCCCAGGGCUCAACCCUGGACAGGCGGUGGAAACUACCAAGCCGGAGUACGGUAGGGGCAGAGGGAAUUUCCGGUGGAGCGGUGAAAUGCAUUGAGAUCGGAAAGAACACCAACGGCGAAAGCACUCUGCUGGACCGACACUGACACUGAGAGACGAAAGCUAGGGGAGCAAAUGGGAUUAGA
rnacentral:rRNA from 1 species